rnacentral:tRNA from 1 species
AACUUAGUAGUUUAAUAUAAAACAUUAAAUUGUAAAUUUAAAAAUAGCUAACUCUAAGUUA